rnacentral:rRNA from 1 species
AUUGAACGCUGGCGGCAGGCCUAACACAUGCAAGUCGAGCGAGCGGCGGACGGGUGAGUAAUAUAUCGGAACGUGCCCAGUAGCGGGGGAUAACUCCUCGAAAAAGAGGCUAAUACCCCACACAAUUGUAGCGGCCGCUAUCGCAUUAGCUAGUUGGGGGGGUAAAGGCGCACCAAGGCAACGAUCCGUAGCUGGUUUGUGAGGACGACCAGCCACACUGGGACUGAGACACGGCCCAGACUCCUACGGGAGGCAGCAGGGGGGAAUUUUGGACAAUGGGGGAAACCCUGAUCCAGCCAUCCCGCGUGUAUGAGAAGGCCUUCGGGUUGUAAAGUACUUUUGGCAGAGAAGCGGUAUCUGCAGAAUAAGCACCGGCUAACUACGUGCCAGCAGCCGCGGUAAUUC